UGACCAUAAAAGCAUGCAAAAUGUAUUUCAGG
rnacentral:piRNA from 1 species